AACGCUGGCGGCGUGCUUAACACAUGCAAAUCGAACGAGAAGAGAUGAGAAGCUUGCUUCUUAUCAAUUCGAGUGGCAAACGGGUGAGUAACGCGUAAGCAACCUGCCCUUCAGAUGGGGACAACAGCUGGAAACGGCUGCUAAUACCGAAUACGUUCUUUUUGUCGCAUGGCAGAGAGAAGAAAGGGAGGCUCUUCGGAGCUUUCGCUGAAGGAGGGGCUUGCGUCUGAUUAGCUAGUUGGAGGGGUAACGGCCCACCAAGGCGACGAUCAGUAGCCGGUCUGAGAGGAUGAACGGCCACAUUGGGACUGAGACACGGCCCAGACUCCUACGGGAGGCAGCAGUGGGGAAUCUUCCGCAAUGGACGAAAGUCUGACGGAGCAACGCCGCGUGAACGAUGACGGCCUUCGGGUUGUAAAGUUCUGUUAUACGGGACGAAUGGCGUAGCGGUCAAUACCCGUUACGAGUGACGGUACCGUAAGGGAAAGCCACGGCUAACUACGUG
rnacentral:rRNA from 1 species